GAAGAAAAAGUGUGGGAUUUCAAGGGAUUAAGCUAAUAAAGGUGGUGAAUCCUCCGAUAAAGGCAAGAAAAUUGUACUUGAGGAUUGGUAGUCAGAGUACUCUAGAAAUUCGACUCUCGAAAUAGUUCAGAUUAGGCUGUAGAUAGCUGAGUUCAUCGAGAACUACCCUUGGAUUUGCAUUCCUUCAAACUAUAGGUUCACAGUCCUCUUUACUUUUGGUUAUUCGGGGGCCCACUUGUUAUUGUAAAUUAAAUUAAAUACUCU
rnacentral:sRNA from 1 species